rnacentral:rRNA from 1 species
AACGAACGCUGGCGGCGUGGAUAAGACAUGCAAGUCGAACGGGAUUUUUUUCUGUAGUAAUACAGAGAAAAGUCUAGUGGCGAACGGGUGCGUAACACGAGAGCAACCUGCCGUGAAGUGGGGGAUAGCUCGCCGAAAGGCGAAUUAAUACUGCAUGUGGCCAAGGAAGAAAUCUUCCUGACGCCAAAGCCGGGGCAACCUGGCGCUUCUCGAGGGGCUCGCGGCCUAUCAGCUUGUUGGUGAGGUAACGGCUCACCAAGGCUAUGACGGGUAGCUGGUCUGAGAGGACGACCAGCCACACUGGAACUGAGACACGGUCCAGACACCUACGGGUGGCAGCAGUCGAGAAUUUUUCACAAUGGGGGAAACCCUGAUGGAGCGACGCCGCGUGGAGGAUGAAGGUUUUCGGAUUGUAAACUCCUGUCAUUAGAGAACAAGGCACACGGUUUAACUGGCCGUGUGUUGAUAGUAUCUGAAGAGAAAGAGACGGCUAACUCUGUGCCAGCCGCCGCCGUAA